rnacentral:sRNA from 1 species
CUUCAACGAACCCAGCCACAACGGCCGCCGUACGUCGCCAACAGCGCCUGCGCCUC